AAUUGGAUAGGUUAUUCAAACCUUUGAGUUGUGGUCUCAAUAAUACAUUUAUGUUCUAAUUC
rnacentral:tRNA from 1 species